rnacentral:rRNA from 1 species
AGCGAACGCUGGCGGCAGGUUUAACACAUGCAAGUCGAGCGGGCAUAGCAAUAUGUCGGCGGCAGACGGGUGAGUAACGCGUGGGAACGUACCUUUUGGUUCGGAACAACUGAGGGAAACUUCAGCUAAUACCGGAUAAGCCCUUACGGGGAAAGAUUUAUCGCCGAAAGAUCGGCCCGCGUCUGAUUAGCUAGUUGGUGAGGUAAUGGCUAACCAAGGCGACGAUCAGUAGCUGGUCUGAGAGGAUGAUCAGGCACAUUGGGACUGAGACACGGCCCAAACUCCUAAGGGAGGCAGCAGUGGGGAAUAUUGGACAAUGGGCGCAAGCCUGAUCCAGCCAUGCCGCGUGAGUGAUGAAGGCCCUAGUGUUGUAAAGCUCUUUUGUGCGGGAAGAUAAUGACGGUACCGCAAGAAUAAGCCCCGGCUAACUUCGUGCCAGCAGCCGCCGUAA